rnacentral:rRNA from 1 species
GUAACGAUAAAGCGGGUGAAAAGCCCGCUCGCCGGAAGACCAAGGGUUCCUGUCCAACGUUAAUCGGGGCAGGGUGAGUCGACCCCUAAGGCGAGGCCGAAAGGCGUAGUCGAUGGGAAACAGGUUAAUAUUCCUGUACUUGGUGUUACUGCGAAGGGGGGACGGAGAAGGCUAUGUUAGCCGGGCGACGGUUGUCCCGGUUUAAGCAUGUAGGCUGGUUAUCCAGGCAAAUCCGGAUAAUCAAGGCUGAGGUGUGAUGACGAGGCACUACGGUGCUGAAGUAACAAAUGCCCUGCUUCCAGGAAAAGCCUCUAAGCAUCAGGUAACAUCAAAUCGUACCCCAAACCGACACAGGUGGUCAGGUAGAGAAUACCAAGGCGCUUGAGAGAACUCGGGUGAAGGAACUAGGCAAAAUGGUGCCGUAACUUCGGGAGAAGGCACGCUGGUGUGUAGGUGAAGCCCCUGCGGGUGGAGCUGAGACCAGUCGAAGAUACCAGCUGGCUGCAACUGUUUAUUAAAAACACAGCACUGUGCAAACACGAAAGUGGACGUAUACGGUGUGACGCCUGCCCGGUGCCGGAAGGUUAAUUGAUGGGGUUAUCCGUAAGGAGAAGCUCUUGAUCGAAGCCCCGGUAAACGGCGGCCGUAACUAUAACGGUCCUAAGGUAGCGAAAUUCCUUGUCGGGUAAGUUCCGACCUGCACGAAUGGCGUAAUGAUGGCCAGGCUGUCUCCACCCGAGACUCAGUGAAAUUGAACUCGCUGUGAAGAUGCAGUGUACCCGCGGCAAGACGGAAAGACCCCGUGAACCUUUACUAUAGCUUGACACUGAACAUUGAGCCUUGAUGUGUAGGAUAGGUGGGAGGCUUUGAAGCGUGGACGCCAGUCUGCGUGGAGCCAACCUUGAAAUACCACCCUUUAAUGUUUGAUGUUCUAACGUUGGCCCCUUACCGGGGUUGCGGACAGUGUCUGGUGGGUAGUUUGACUGGGGCGGUCUCCUCCCAAAGCGUAACGGAGGAGCACGAAGGUUAGCUAAUCCUGGUCGGACAUCAGGAGGUUAGUGCAAUGGCAUAAGCUAGCUUGACUGCGAGCGUGACGGCGCGAGCAGGUGCGAAAGCAGGUCAUAGUGAUCCGGUGGUUCUGAAUGGAAGGGCCAUCGCUCAACGGAUAAAAGGUACUCCGGGGAUAACAGGCUGAUACCGCCCAAGAGUUCAUAUCGACGGCGGUGUUUGGCACCUCGAUGUCGGCUCAUCACAUCCUGGGGCUGAAGUAGGUCCCAAGGGUAUGGCUGUUCGCCAUUUAAAGUGGUACGCGAGCUGGGUUUAGAACGUCGUGAGACAGUUCGGUCCCUAUCUGCCGUGGGCGCUGGAGAAUUGAGGGGGGCUGCUCCUAGUACGAGAGGACCGGAGUGGACGCAUCACUGGUGUUCGGGUUGUCAUGCCAAUGGCACUGCCCGGUAGCUAAAUGCGGAAGAGAUAAGUGCUGAAAGCAUCUAAGCACGAAACUUGCCCCGAGAUGAGUUCUCCCUGAGACUUUAAGUCUCCUGAAGGAACGUUGAAGACGACGACGUUGAUAGGCCGGGUGUGUAAGCGCAGCGAUGCGUUGAGCUAACCGGUACUAAUGAACCGUGAGGCUUAACCUU